ACCAGGUGCUGUUUGUCUACAUGACUUUGUGUGAGCUGAUGCCGACCUGAUUGCAUGCGAGGAGUUCUGCAAUGCUGCCAACAUCAGAAGUACAUGCCACAGUGGAAAAGCAAAAUAAGUUGAAUGAAGGACCUGAUCGCUCAUGAGGACUGCUCGCCUCCACUUGUCCGGAAGAUCACCAUCUUUUGUUGCACAAAACAAGGAAAACUUUUUUCUCACACCUUAUACCCCAGGGUGUAUUGCAGCAGAGUACAAAACGUUUUCUCCCAAUUAUGAACUGCAGACGGUGACGGAUUCUUAUGAAACCAUGCGUUAAAUAACUCGGCAGCAACUGAUGCUACUUAUCAUUGAAACCCAACAAUUACAGCGAGAGCGUGUCACACUCUUUUCACAGUG